AAUCCCACACUCUUCGU
rnacentral:misc_RNA from 1 species